rnacentral:lncRNA from 1 species
UUAAUACAUUCAUUUUUUAGGCUUUGUUUGAGCAAUUAUUCCAAUUUCUAUUUUAUUGUUGCAUUAAAAACGACAAUAGUUGAAACUCGUUUUUUGGUUUCAAAACUCACUCAAGAAAUCCUGAAAAUUAAUGUCGCUUAUUUGACAUUAUUAAAGAAAAAACCGACACCAUUAAAAAAAUGGCAUCGUUUAUUCUUCUAUUGGAGUUGACGGGGUUUAAAAUGAAAUAUGAGGCACGGAGGAGAAUCGAGGCCGUUUUUAAAAACAAGACCGAUCAACUUCAUACAACCAGUUAUACAGGAAACACAACAUCCUCCAUUUGGCUUUUCAAAGGGGUUUGGCUUUAGCCCAGGAGUCUUCUAAGGGUCGAAUUCACUUGUACCGAACCGCUUUGAUAGAUAAAACGUGACGCCGGUUAGGAUCAACAAGGAGGAGGAUCGGAAGUAAACAAAGCAAGUUAAUGGCCACUUAAAAAUCCACUGCCUCGGUAGGCAGACCGCUUUUGUGUUCCGUACGGUCAACCACUGUUCUAUUUUCCCUAUUUUCCCCCUCUAAUCUAUGAAAAGGAAUAAAGAACCACUUUAAA